UACGAAGGGGGCUAGCGUUGCUCGGAAUCACUGGGCGUAAAGGGUGCGUAGGCGGGUCUUUAGGUCAGGGGUGAAAUCCUGGAGCUCAACUCCAGAACUGCCUUCGAUACUGGAAGACUUGAGUCCGGGAGAGGUGAGUGGAACUGCGAGUGUAGAGGUGAAAUUCGUAGAUAUUCGCAAGAACACCAGUGGCGAAGGCGGCUCACUGGCCCGGUACUGACGCUGAGGUGCGAAAGCGUGGGGAGCAAACAGGG
rnacentral:rRNA from 1 species